rnacentral:rRNA from 1 species
CCUACGGGGUGCAGCAGUGGGGAAUAUUGCGCAAUGGGCGAAAGCCUGACGCAGCGACGCCGCGUGAGGGAUGAAGGUCUUCGGAUCGUAAACCUCUGUCAGCAGGGAAGAACGGUCACUGUGCUAAUCAGCAGUGAAUUGACGGUACCUGCAAAGGAAGCACCGGCUAACUCCGUGCCAGCAGCCGCGGCAAUACGGAGGGUGCGAGCGUUAAUCGGAAUUACUGGGCGUAAAGCGCUCGUAGGCGGUAUGUCAAGUCAAGGGGGAAAUCCCCGCGCUCAACGUGGGAACUGCCUUUGAAACUGGCAAACUGGAGUGUGUGAGAGGAUAGUGGAAGUCCAGGUGUAGGAGUGAAAUCCGUAGAGAUCUGGGGGAACAUCAGUGGCGAAGGCGACUAUCUGGCACAUAACUGACGCUGAGGAGCGAAAGCGUGGGUAGCAAACAGGAUUAGAUACCCGAGUAGUC